AUCAAAAUUCAAUUCAGUCUGCAAAACAACCUUCCCCAGCUGAGACCAAGAAAGAAGAGACUAUCAUUGCUGCAGCUGAACCGACAUUGCCAACAAUUGUCGGUAAAGACACAGAAGGCAUGAGAGGCACUCCAACCUUGGAUUACGAGCCCACGGGAGAUAAACGUGCUGAUAUUCAGAGUGGUAGAUCUGAUGAAGUAGCCCUUCCAGAACAGAAAUCCAGACCCUCAGAUCGGGAUUCAGCUCGUUCUACGCAAUCAAGAUCCUCUGCUGAGCCUAUGGAUAAAGAGCUUAAUUAUCCAAGUUCUGCGAAACCACUUUCCUCUGCGACACCUGACCAGACAAAGGACUCACAACCUACUAUUGGUCAACAAGCGCCUGCACCAGGAACAUCUGAAUAUCCAUCCUCAGGCGAAGGACAAGUUUACCGCACCAAACCUGAUUUUGAGCUAUCUGAAGGCCCACUCCCUUAUUCACGUAGUGUCAUAGGUGAAAAGACUAUGAGACCUCCAUCUAGCCAAGCACAAAGUUCAGACUCAAAACCUGAUCCCACCCAAAACCGUGGCGAUGACCCUUCCACAAGAUCUUUACCCAAUCAAGUAGCAAAACAACAUGCAGAAACCCAACCACCACCGACUCUCGUGGUUCCAUAUGACUCCGAAUCCACCCAAGAUGUAACUUCUGACACCUUAGGCAAAGCCAAGUCACUAAAACCAUCCUCUAUUGAUCAGCAAGCUACAGGCUCAGCAUCAACUCCUGACACUCAUCUUGGUGGUGCAUCAGGGGAAUUAGCUCGCCCAGGACAGGAAUUACCCUUGAAAGAUCAAGAUUCAGCUAACUCUACACAGAAGUCUCCCUCCAGUGAGCCACAAAAAGAACAGUCCACUGUUGCUGCACCUAAUCAAUCCAAGGCGUCACAAGCAACUAGUGAAGUACUAACCCCCGCUGAUCAAAGCAUAGCUCCAUCAGAACCACUUUCUGUUGUUGAAAGAAAUGAAGAAUUUACUGUUGCUGAAGCUGAAGAAAGCAAAGUGUCUCGACCAGUCAUCGCUCAGCAAGACAUUAAGCAUGUACCAGACAUUUCAGAACCAGUACUUGAUAAUGUUUCGACGGAAGAACAAUAUCAACGUGCUUCUGAGCCACGUGAAGGACCACCUCCUGAUGUGCAUGGCACCUUCGUUGACAGAAAGACAGCUCCCUCUUCUAGUCAAGCACAACGUCCAGAUGCAAAACGUGAUGUGCUACCAUUGAGUGCCGAUGUUGACAAAAAAACAGUCCAACCUUCUAGUCAAGCACAAAUUCUACCAUCGAGUGUUGAUGUUGGUCCUAGCAGUGAUGAACAAUCAACUACAAGACUUCGACGUGAUCAAGAGGCACAGGCGCAGCUACCUGCAGCAACUAAGCAACCACAACCUUUUGAGGCUCCAGUCUACCCUAAAUCUAACCAAGAUGCCCCUAAGUCCUUCAAACUACCCUCUGGUGAUCAAGAUGUCAUGUCACCUAAAGUGGUGCCAGCAUCAGCAUCAGACACUCAAUUUGGUAAAGUAUCCGAUGAAAUAACUGAUGAUGGGCAAAACUCCCCUUUGUCAGCUCAAGAUAUAGCUCGUUCUGCACAAAGGCCUUUCUUUGUUGAGCCAACAAAAGAAGAUGAUAUUGUUGCUGCAUCCGGUCAAACUAACGAGGCACGGCCUAUAAGUGGUCAACGAGGAAUAACUCCUACUCCAGACAAACAAAGAAUUCCUGAUCUGCGUGGUGCUGUUGAUGAAAAGAUGUCACUUCCAUCUAGCCAAGCACAAAACUCAGACAUUAGGCCUGAUUCAGCACCAAUUGGUGGCGAUGUUCAUCGUACUAGUGGCGAUGAACCAGCCACAAGCUCUGUACGUGAUUCACAGGCCCGGCCUCCUGCAGGAACUCAGAAUGUACCUGCUGGUUUCUUGGAAAAGACCAAGUCACCAAGACCACCCUCCACUGAUCAAGAACCUAUGGCUAGUCCAGCACCAGCUCCAGAUGCUCCGCAAGAUCAAGAUUCAAAUCGUUCUUCACCGGUUUCUCCCUCUGUUGUAUCAAGGAAAGAUGUUGCUAAUGCUGAUCAAACCAAUGUAUCACAAGCAGGCCUGCGAGAACCCCCGAGUUCAGAUGCUAAACUUCCUUCAGAGGAAAUACAAGAAUCUAGCCCGGAUGCUUAUCUCACCAAGUCAGAGAAACCACUUCCUAUGAAAGAUCCAGUUCGGCCUCCACAUGAAGCUUCCUUUGAUUUAUUGAGCGGUGAAAAGCCCACUAUGAUCAAAGGUGAUCAGGCCAGCACAAUAUCAGAUGUCAGUCCCUCAGCCAGCGAAGAAGUUGGUCAAUCUGAAAAUAGUGCAGUUAAAGGACCACUCCCUGCGGAGUUAGUAUCAUCAUUUCCUCAGAAGAACCUCGAAAAAACAUCACCUGAAGAAAAAUGGAACCAGCAGCAGCAAACAGACCAGUCCACCACUAGAUCAUCUGAAGAUAACAACAUCGAAGCCAGUGGAACUAGAAACCCUAACACCUCAACAACGUCUAGAGAUAUACAACCUUCACCACUCAAGGAAAGAAUGCAGGCAGUUGAAGGAUCCAGAAACCAACAACAGUCUGACCAAGCUGUCUUUCAAUCAAUACAGGAUAACAGAGCACAAAUUCAAGAAACUAAGGCACGAGACACUGGAUUUGACAAGCCUGAAGUGAUUAGGCCCGAUUCAGCACCAACCAGUGGUGAUGCUCAUCGUACAAGCGGUGAUGGGCCAACUACAAGUUCUUUACGUGAUUCACAGGCACAGUCUUCUGCAGGAACUGAGAAUGUACCUGCUGUUUACUCGAAAAAGGAGUCACCAAGACCACUCUCCAUUGAUCAAGAAGUCAUGACACCUAUGAAUAAGCCAACACCAGCUCCAGAUUCUCUGCAAGAUCAAUAUUCAAAUCAUGCUUCACAGUUUACUCCCUCUGCUAUAUCAAGGAAAAAUGUUGCUAAUGCUGAUAAAACCAAUAUAUCAGAAGCAGGCCUGCAAGGCCCCGCGAGUUCAGAUGCUACACUUUCUUCAGAGCAAAUACAAGAAUCUAGGCCUGAUGAUUAUCUCACCAAGUCAGAGAAAGAACCUCCCAUGAAAGGUACAGAUCCAGUUCAGCCUCCAGAAGUAGCUGCCUUUGAUUUGCCGAGCGAUGGGAAACCUACUAUGAUCAAAGGUGACCAGGUGAAUACAAUAUCAAGUGUCAGUCUCUCAGCCAGCCAGCCAGUUGGUCAGUCUGAAAGUGCAGUUGAAAGACCACUCUCAGAUGAGUUAGUAUCACCAUUUCCUGAAAAACACCUUGAAAAAAGAUCACCUGAAGAAAAAUCGAACCAGCAGCAGCAAACUGACCAGUCCAGCACUAGAUUAACUAAAGAUGAUAGCAUAGAAUCCAGUGGAAUCGCAAGCCCAAAUAUCUUGACAACAUCCGGAGAUAUACAACCUUCUCCACUCAAGCAAAACAAUCAGGCAGCUGAAAGAUCCAGAAAACAACAACAGGCUGACCCUGUCUUUCAAUCAACACAGGACAACAAAAGGCAAACUGAAGAAACUGAGGCACAAGACACUGGAUCUGACCAGCAUGAAGAAAUUAAUCCUGAUUCAGCACCAACCAGUGGUGAUGCUAAUCGUACAAGUGGUGAUGGGCCAGCCACAAGUUCUUUACGUAAUUCUCCUGCAGAAACUCAGAACGCACGUGUUGUUUUCUCGAAAAAGAUCAAGUCACCAAGACCACCCUCCACUAAUCAAGAACUUGUGGCACCUCUGACUAGUCCAGCACCAACUCCAGAUACUCCGCAAGAUAAAGAUUCAACUCGGUCUCCUCAGUUGCCUCCUCCUGUUGAAUCAAGGAGAGAUAUUGCUAACACCGAUCAAACCGAUGUAUCACCAGCAGGCUUGAGAGAGACCGCAAGUUCAGAUGCUAUGCCUCCUUCAGAAAAAAUACAAGAAUCUAGCCCUGAUGCUUAUCUCUCUAAGUCAGAGAAACCAAUUCUUCCUUUGACAGGUACAGAUACAGUUCAGCCUCCAGAUGAAGGUUCUUUUGAUUUGUCAAGCGAUGGGAAGCCCACUAUGAUCAAAGGUGACCAGGUCAACACAAAAUCAAAUGUUAGUCUGUCACCCAGCCAAGCAGAUGGUCAAUCUGAAAAUAGUGCAGUUAAAGGACCACCCUCCGAUGAUUCGGUAUCACCAUUCCUUCAAAAGAACCUCGAAAGGACAUCACCUGAAGAAAAACCGAAGCAGCAGCGCCAAUCCAGUAGUAGAUCAUCUAAAGAUGACAGCAUAGAAGCCAGUGAAACCGCAAGCCCGAACAUCUUAACAACAUCUGGAGAUAUACAACCAUCACCUCUCAACCAACCGUCACCUAUGAAGGAAAACAUUCAGGCAGCUGAGGGAUUCAGAAACCAACAACAGGCUGACCAAGAUGUUUUUCAACCAAGACAGGACAGCAGAAAGCAAAUUGAAGAAACUGAGGCACAAGACACUUCAACUAACUAUCCUGAAGACACGAAUAGAGCAUCUCAAAGGGCUGCUUUGGAACAACAACAGGGAGAAAAUGUCCGGAGGGCUCAGCGGCAGAGCAAUGACACAAACAAUAGCUAUGAACCAACUAAAGAUGCUCCAAGUAUCAUCCAGGCAGACAAUAAACCUGAGAGCAGCUCGAGAACUCCUGAAGAACCCAGGCAACAAGCACAGACGGAAGGCAAAUCUCAAGGUGGCGAAACCAAGGCACCAGCCUCUGAAACCGGGCAGCCUGAAGAAAGCGAUCUCUCACCAAGCAAUAAGGGCAUCACUAGUCCAUCCCAGUCAGAAACCUCCGGCAAACUGGAAGACCAAACCUCCUCUGCUACCCGGAACAGAGGCGCAAACUCCAGCAAAUCGGAUGGGUCAACCGGUGGCACGAAGUCCGCCGGCACGGACGAUAAUGAUCCAUUGUCAUGAAUCACAGCGGCAUGGCUCCUCAACCAACACAUGAUGCUGGAGUGCGCCCCUGAAUAAAUAUCAAGGAGAAGUCUGUUUGGGAACUCACUCACCUCUCUGUCUUGUUUUUUCCUGGCUCUGUUUUGUUCAGAUAAUAAGGCCCGUCCUCUUGUCAUCCUCGAAUGGGGCCAUUGCCAUGUACUCCCUCUGUAAACUAAUAUAAGAGCGUUUAGAUCACUAAAAUAGUAAUCUAAAUGCUCUUAUAUUAGUUUACGGAGGGAGUAUUUCUUUUCUGCUCUUUUUGUUGAAAACUGUCGGCUUGUUUGCUCGUGAAAGUGGCUGUAUUCUGUCUGAUUUUUUGUAAUUCUAGAACUGCUACCGGCAGCGUUGUUAUUUGCAACCAGUUUCUUCCAUUGUGAUCAAUUGCAGUUGCUGGUUUUUAAGUAUAUAUAGAUGUUAAUGUAAGCAAUGAUCCUUGGUCAAACCCAAUUC
rnacentral:rRNA from 1 species